GGGGAAUAUUGGACAAUGGGCGAAAGCCUGAUCCAGCCAUGCCGCGUGAGUGAUGAAGGCCCUAGGGUUGUAAAGCUCUUUCACCGAUGAAGAUAAUGACGGUAGUCGGAGAAGAAGCCCCGGCUAACUUCGUGCCAGCAGCCGCGGUAAUACGAAGGGGGCUAGCGUUGUUCGGAAUUACUGGGCGUAAAGCGCACGUAGGCGGAUUGUUUAGUGAGGGGUGAAAUCCCAGGGCUCAACCCUGGAACUGCCUCUCAUACUGGCAAUCUCGAGUUUGGGAGAGGUGAGUGGAAUUCCGAGUGUAGAGGUGAAAUUCGUAGAUAUUCGGAGGAACACCAGUGGCGAAGGCGGCUCACUGGCCCAAAACUGACGCUGAGGUGCGAAAGCGUGGGGAGCAAAC
rnacentral:rRNA from 1 species